GGAGAUGUGGCUUAGUGGCAGAGCUCUUGCCUUGCAUGCAGAAUGCCCUGGGUUCAAUCCCCAGCACCA
rnacentral:tRNA from 1 species